rnacentral:lncRNA from 1 species
CGAAAAACCUCAAUAAUGAAACAACCAUCAAGAAUCAUCAUUUUCACAAACUCAUCUUGGUUUAAACUUAUGGACCCUCCAUAACAAUUUCUAGCUGUCUUUUCCAGUUCCCUCAUGACCGCGAAAUAGCGUGACAAAGGUAUAUCCAAUCUUUCGCUCUAGAAGCCUUUGAAGAUAGCUCAUUUUGUACUUUUCAAAGUCCCAUAAUUGAUCUUUACCGUGAUGGUAACGACCAAUUGAUAGCAAUCUUGGUGCAUAAGCCUUUUCAUUUACAUUACGCAAUACCUGAGGCUGAGGCACUCUGAAAAUGCUAAACUGAGAUGGUGUACUAGUUAGACAACGAAGCUCUUCCUCAAGAUCAAGUACUAUUGCAGUCGGAUCACUUGCCAAGGUCUGCAUUUAAGUGGAUAUAAAGACAUAAAUGUUGAUUACUAUAAAACUUAACUAAAUUAAUUAUGGAUAAUUACAGAAGUUACAAGUACUUCAACUUUACAUAAAAAUUAUCAUUAAUGCCAUUAAGUCUGCUUUUUAUAAAUUUUGGAAAAAAAAAAAACAGUAGUCAUUGAUAAUAGUUUCAACUUCUAAUUAGAGUUAUAGUGUGAUGGUUGUCGAAGCCAACAAAAAUAAAUUUCUACUCUAAAUAAAUUGUGUAUAGUGAUUGAGCAGGGUCGUGUCCACAGAGAUCGGUAAUUAUUUAAAUCCUUUUGAAACGUAAAACGUAAAAUGGGGGAAUUGUUGACAAUAAUAAAAAUCAAAUAACAAGAAUGCAAAUUAAAGUUGUAAUUCAAAUUGGAGAAAGCUCUGGUUGAAGGAAUUAACUCAGCUUAAUUCGACUACUGAUCAUUGAUUCAAAUAUAGAUUAUUAUUACUCAUGAAUAGAUCGGUUAUAGCUACUGAGACCCUCUAAUAGCCAAUCUCUCCUUAACUAGUCGAUAACCAAGGUACGGCCGUUGGUUAUUUCCCUAAUCAAUAGAAAACCCUAGAUACGAUCAUAGAAUUUAAUCAAUUGACAGCCUGAAAAACCAGAGAGACCCAAAUCCUAAUCAACACAUAUGAUGAUUCAUUUAAAUUAGAUUGUUUAUUCUCACAACACAACUCUCUGCUAUGUUAUUUGUCACAAACAUUAAAUUCUUCAUACGAUGAAUCUUUUAAUUGACAAUAAAUUAAGUUGAUAAUUAAAUAGUGGCCAAUGACCUAAUUAACAAACAUAAUCAUGAAAAUAAUACAGAGAAUAAACAAAUACCCAAAAAGUAAUAAAACAAUUAACGCACAAGAAAGAUCUCACAGUGGUGAUGAAUCAAAGCUUCGUUAUCCUUUAACCAGAAAAAUAAGUUUAAUUCUUCAUAGAGAAAAGAGAAAAAUUAGAUCUAGGGUUUCUUUGUUUUCCUCCAAUCCAAAUCCCUUUUUCACAAUAGAUUCCUCCCUUAAAUACUCUCUCUCUCUUCUCUUUUAGAAUUCUAUUUAAAAUAAAAUACUAAUAUCUGAAAUAUUAAAUUCGUAAUUACAAAAAUAAUAAAAAAUACAAAACACGUUAAACUAAAAACUGCAGGUCCGCAGUUGACAGCACGCGCCCACGCCUUAUCAACAAAGUUCUUCUGACGCUCAUAAUUUCUCCAAGAGAACAAUCCUCCUUAAACAUCAUCUUUUAGCUCAAUUUUAUCAUCAAUCAAUAGAAUUGUACCUAAAAAAGUAAAACACAAGUAAAACAUUAUUAUUAAGUGCAAAACAUCGAUAUUAAGGGAAGUAAACAAUGCAAAACUAGUGCAUAAAUUGCACUCUAACAAAUUCCCCCACACCAAGAUGAUACUUGUCCUCAAGCAUAUAACUCAAGAUUAAUCCCAAAUCUCCACUCAAUUCUCAUCUCAACUCAUCCAAAAAUAAUUUUAAGCAAGCAUACCUCAAGAAAUUAAGUCGAUCAACAUUCGAGAGACAAGGAUUUUUAAAGCAUAGAAUCUCAUAAGAUAGAAUCUCAUAAGAUAGAAUAAGAACAUUCAACCACCAAGAAGAUCCAUUCAAAAUUCAAGUGCAACAAGAUUUAAUAGCUCUCUCAAUGACUUCACUCCAUACACUCAAAGUGUUUAGGGUAUCAUUUAUGCACUCAAAUCAAAUCAAAGAAUGCUAUUACCAUAAGCUUGCUCAUAUAUCACAUCUCAAUCCACAAAACAUGAAUAAAAUGCAAAAAUCUAAGGGUCUUAAAAGGGUUGUAAUGGGGUUAAAUAGGUUAAAUAAAAAAGAAAGGUCUAUGAAAGAAAAAGAGAUCAAAAUGAGAAGAAUGAACUCAUUGAAUGAACUUAUGAAAUCAAAAUGCUUAUUUCUACUCAAGUCACCACGAAUGUAAACAUUUUUUUUUCGAUUUUUUUUUAAUUUUUUUUUCUUUUUCCUUUUUUUUUGAUGAAUCAAAUAAAAGAAACGAACCUUGCACAAUUUAAUUCAAGCAUAAUGCUUGUUAAUCUAAUUGAGAAACUUUAAUACAAGGUAAAAAAAACAACAAAAUAUAUCCACACAAUGAGUCCAAAAAUCUCCUUAAAUUGAGGCUCAAAAAGAAGAAAAAUGGUUAAGUAGACGGAGAGAAUUAGAUGGGUAAUGGUUAAGGCUCAAACAAAGAUAGCAAAUAAAGAUCUUCGGGUAGAGAAAAAAAAUGCGAGAAUAGAAAAAUGGAAAAGGGUUUGCCCUUAUCAUUUUAAUGCAUAAAAUCCCGUAAUGCGGCUUUAACAUGCAUAACAAAGCAAGUUCUAGAAUAAACAAACUAAGAUUGAUAUUCACAUAACAAAAAUAUUAGAGCAAAGUGGUUGCUCAUAGGCUCAAAUCCUCACAAAGUUGGUAAAUUUGCCAUCAAAUCAUGUACAUUCUUCAAAUGAAUCAACCAUCAAUAGUGGUGUAGAAUGAGAAAAAUGUAUGAGUGAUAUAAAAAAAAAAGGUAAAAAGGAUAAGAAGUGAGAAAGAUGUAUGUAGUAAUAUGAAAAGUGAAAGAUAAAAUAUGAGUAAUGAAAGAGUAUGAUAGAAUAAAAAUAUAUGUAAAUAAUUUGAGAUAGAUGGGAAAAGAGUAGUGAGAAAGGAAAAAAAAAAGAAAAAAAUAAUAAUAUAUGAAGCAUACUAACUCCAAAAUCAUUUAAGGAUGAGUAGAGUGAAAAUAGAUGAGUAGAGUGAAAAUACUACUUCCAGACAUCAAUAAUGCAAAAAUCCCUCCCCCACACCAAGAACUUACAUUGUCCCCAAUGUAAGAUAAUCAAAGCUCACAUAAAAAUUAAAGCGUAAGGAUAAAAGAUUAAGGGCAAAAAGAAACUUCCCUGAAUUGUGAGCUUUGAUCCACAUAACGUCUAUGGGCUUGGCGGAAAUGGUGGGGUAAAUCCCACACUCUCGAAGUAUGCAGCCAAAUUCUGCUCCAUCUUGUUCAACUUGUGCUCCAUUUUCUCUAACUGAAUGCUCAAAGGUGGUGCGGAUGUAGAAGGAAUAGUUGGCUGGGCAGCAGUGUCGUCGUCAAACUCGUCAUCAGAGGUAGCACCACUCCUAGCAUAAAGCUUCUUCGGAAGUUGAGUGGGUCCUGGUUCAGUAAACUGAAAUCUCCCCUCCUUGAAUUCGACCACACCUAUCUUUCUCUUGUUGAGUCGCGAAUGCGAGGCACCCUCCGAGAUUGGAUUCCGCAAGUGGCAAAACACUCAUUCCUUUUCCAUGUUUCGAUCUUUGUCUUACGGCUUGGCGUGAAUCCGAAAUUGUGUUCCAUGAAACCGUAGUGGGAGCGGCAAUCUUCGAUUUCUUUGCGACGAGUGUCUUUUUCGAUGACUUGGAAGUAGAUGCUUUCCUCUUCGGCAUUGUUACAAUAAUUUCACUCAUGGAUUUCGAUUUACCCGGCUGGAAUACAGGGCGUAGGCUGGUUGCAUUGCGUUGCUGCUCGGCUGGAGCUUGCUGCGCAGCUUGGGGCUGGUUGCGCACUGCUGGUUGCGUGCGGGAUGCUGGUGCGUGGCUGUGUUGUGCGCGCGAGGGGGGGGCUUGUUGGUGCUGCGUGCGCGGGGGCUUGCAUUGCGGAUCUGUUGCGCACUGCUCGUCUGCUGUUGCUCGGCUAUGUUGCGCGCGCGGGACUGAUGCACUGUGCUGAGGCUGAUUCGCGUUGCUGCUAGUUGCGUUGCAGGUGGGACUGAUGCGGCUGCAGUUGGUUCUGCGCGCUGGAGCUAAGGGUUGCUGCGGGAAAACGAUAAUCAACAGUGAAUUUUUUUGAAUUAGGGAUUUGUGAACAGUGAUUUGUGAUUUUUUGUUUUUUUUCUUUUUUUUAAAAAUAAAUAAAUAUAUAUAUAUAGAAGAAAGAAAAGAAGGGAAAAAAACUUUUUUUUUUCAUUUUUUUAUAAAUAAAUAAAUAUAUAUAUAUAAGAAAGAAAAUAAGGAAAAAAACUCUUUUUGUUUUAGUGAUGAAUCACUUUGAGACACUAAAAAUUUCAGAAGUACUUUUCUAAUAAGCACGUGGGCACGCCUUAAAACUAUUUUACUUUAAAAAUUACAGAAGUACUUAUUAGUUAAGACGUGGGCACGCCUUAUUAAAAAUUUUCUUCUGACCAAAAUAAGUAAACACAUUAUUUUAAAAAAAAAAAUCUUAAUCAAAAUUAAAAGAAGAUAUAACAAAAACCAAAAUAAACAAAUCAUUUGGGUUGCCUCCCAAAGAGCGCCUUUGUUUUAUGUCUUUGGUUAGACACAUUUAUGCAUCAAUCUCCAUAAUUGGGACUCUCGAGAGCCACAUCCUCCACAAUAUUCACCGAAAAACCUUCAUAAAAAGGUUUUAAACGAUGACCAUUAACCUUAAAAACUUUGUCAGAGGUCGGACUCCGAAUCUCAACUGCACCAUGAGGAAAAAUAUUAGUAACAAUAAAAUGUCCAACCCAGCAAGAACGUAAUUUACCCGGAAAAAGUUUAAACUUAGAAUGAAAAAGAAGAACUUUUUGACCAAUAGAGAACUCUUUUCUCAAAAUCAUUCUAUCAUGAAAUGUCUUCAUUUUUUCCUUGUAAAAAACUUCCUGUACUAUAGGGUUAAUAACAUCCACAGAAAAUACCGAAUGUUCCUCACUCGGAUAUUUCAUGGCAUCAUUCAUAUUGAAUUCUAUAACCUCUCUAUCAAACUCCAUAGUGAGAGUUCCUUUAUGUACAUCCAUUUUAGUCCUAGCAGUCUUAAGAAAAGGUCUUCCUAGCAAAAUUGGGACAAAAUUAGAGGAGUUAUCAUCUUCCAUAUCAAGUACAUAAAAAUCAGCAGGAAAAACCAACUCAUUAACUUGUACUAAGACAUCUUCUAAUACCCCAUCAGGAUAUGCAUUAGACCUAUCAGCUAGUUGAAUUAUCACGCCAGUUUCUUUUAAUGGACCAACAUUCAAAGAUGAAUAAAUGGAACGAGGCAUGACAUUAAUAGAAGCUCCUAGAUCUAAUAAAGCCUUUUCAAUUUUAACACUACCAAUUUUACAAGGGAUAGUAAACAUACCUGGAUCCUUGCACUUAGAAGGUAGUUUCUUUUGAAGAACUGCUGAAACAUUCUCCCCCAUAUGAACUUUUUCAUCUCCUCUUAAUUUUCUCUUAGAGGUGCAUAGUUCCUUAAGGACUUUAGCAUAUCGAGGUAUUUGUUUUAUAGCAUAUAAUAAAGGAAUAUUUACCUCAACCUUGCGAAAUGUCUCAAGGAUGUCUUUCUCUUGUUCCUCCUUCUUGGAUUUUGCAAACCGGCUUGGAAAAGGAUGAGGUAUCACAAUAGGUACGGGUUUCGCUCUGGUGGGUUGUUCAUCUUGAGAUUGAGGCAUCAAUUCAUUCUUCUCAAGCUCACCUUCUACAUGCUCUGUCACUUUCUUACUAGGCUCUUGCAACUCCUUCCCACUUCUAAGGAUGACAGCACUAACGUUUUGCUUUGGAUUCACCUCAGAUUGUGAAGGCAAUCUCCCUAAUACUUGAGACUCUAGUUGGCUCAAUGUAGUCGCCAAUUGACUCAUUUGGUUCUCCAAGUUCUGAAUGCUUGCUGUAGUUGCCUGCUAAAAUUGUUGAGUGUUAGUCGCAAGCGAUUUAACAAUUUCUUCAAGAGAUAUACCUGACUUGGAGGUUGACUGUGGAGGUGCUGGUUGUCUUGGUGGAUACUGUUGUGGGAAUCCUGACGGCCUAACUCUAUAGCUGAAGUUGGGAUGAUCCUUCCAUCCCGUAUUGUAUGUUUGUGCAUAAGGAUCAUACCUCCUCUGAGGCAUGCCUGGAAAUCCUCCAACUGCAUUGGCUUGUUCAAAGUGUUCUUCUUGAAGUGUAGGACACAUAUCAGUUGAAUGACCCAUAUUGUAACAAAUACCACAAGUCUUCACUUGUUGCACAUUACCUACCAUAAACUUUUCCACAAGAGAAGUAAGUUUAUCUAAACGUUGUUCAACAGAAGAAAUAUUUACCUCAUUCACCUUCCUUGAAGUGGGAUCUUGCCUGCUGCCAAAUUGUUGUGCGUUGGCAGCCAUAUUUGAUAUCAACUCUCUUGCUUGAGUAGGAGUCUUGUUCACCAACACGCCUCCACUAGCAAUAGACAACCCUAGAUACGAUCAUAGAAUUUAAUCAAUUGACAGCCUGAAAAACCAGAGAGACCCAAAUCCUAAUCAACACAUAUGAUGAUUCAUUUAAAUUAGAUUGUUUAUUCUCACAACACAACUCUCUGCUAUGUUAUUUGUCACAAACAUUAAAUUCUUCAUACGAUGAAUCAUUUAAUUGACAAUAGAUUAAGUUGAUAAUUAAAUAGUGGCCAAUUACCUAAUUAACAAACAUAAUUAUGAAAAUAAUACAGAGAAUAAACAAAUACCCAAAACGUAAUAAAAUAAUUAAAGCACAAGAAAGAUUUCACAUUAGUGAUGAAUCAAAGCUUCGUUAUCCUUCAACCAGAAAAAUAAGUUUAGUUCUUCAUAGAGAGAAGAGAAAAAUUAGAUCUAGGGUUUCUUUGUUUUCCUCCAAUCCAAAUCCCUUUUUCAUAAUAGAUUCAUCCCUUAAAUACUCUCUCUCUCUUCUCUUUUAGAAUUCUAUUUAAAAUAAAAUACUAAUAUCUGAAAUAUUAAAUUCGUAAUUACAAAAAUAACCAAAAAUACAAAACACGUUAAACUAAAAACUGCAGGUCCGCAGUUGACAGUACGCACCCACGCCUUAUCAACAAAGUUCUUCUGACGCUCAUAAUUUCUCCAAGAGAACAAUCCUCCUUAAACAUCAUCUUUUAGCUCAAUUUUAUCAUCAAUCAAUAAAAUUGCACCUACAAAAGUAAAACACAAGUAAAACAUUAUUAUUAAGUGCAAAACAUCGAUAUUAAGGGAAGUAAACAAUGCAAAACUAGUGCAUAAAUUGCAUUCUAACAUAGUGACAGUACUUGUAUAACAAGGGAAGUGAGACAAAUCAACAACGAGUGAAAGCAAAUCAUCAGUUAUAGCACACUAAUUGAAUGACCAUAAAUCAUAAACAAAACCAAAUUUUAUAUUCGUUUCAAUUUCAAUUCUUUUAUAUUCUUAGUAAUAUUUGAUACAGAACUGAGCCAGCUCACAGAUCUUGGAUCUCACGUGCGCGGCCAAAGAAGCUAAGCAAAAUUCUUGGGGUACACAAUACAAUUCACUAGGGGUGGGCAAACGGUUCGGUUUUUGCCGAACCGAACCGAACUGAAAAAUUUGGUUCGGUUCGGUUCUAUGAGUAAAAACCGAAUGGUUUAAAAAAUACUGAACCGAUUGGUUUUAAUUUGGUUCGGUUCAAAACCGAACUGAACCGAAAAACCGAUCGGUUCGGUUCAAUUUAAUUACAAAAUAUUUAAAACCAAAUUUCAAAUUCAAUCACAAAAUUCAAAUCCCUAAAUCACGAUUGCAUACUGUUGCCCUUGCCUCUCCCCCUCGCGCCUCUCCCUCGUGUCUCUCUCUCCUCACGGUGGAGCUCCUCAACGGCGGCACCACCCCUCGGCAGUAUCUUCCCCCACUGCGCGUGCAUGGUGCGGUUCGGCUCAGCCCCUCUCGGUCUCUUCCUCGCGUCUCUCCCUCGCCUCACACCACGGUCAGCGCCUAGCACAGCCCCUCAGUAGCAGCACAGCCCCUCCCCUCAAGCACAGUGACACCGUUGUUAACCCUCAUCUUGGUUGCUGCAGCAUCUGGAAGGUACAUAUGCUCCCUGGUCCAAACCUCCCUGCUCCUGCCAUCAGCCUGCGUCUUUAAUCUUCAUUGCUGCAGGUUAUUAUUAUUAUUUUUUGUUAAUCCAUGUUGUGGCCUCUAUGUUUGAAUUGAAGUUUAUGUGGGGUUAAAUUUGUGGAGGUGUUGGUGUAUAUUGGUUGUUGGCAGUGUGGAAUUGUAUAAUUGUAUAUGUGUCGAAUUGUACAAGUAAAAUAGUGUGGAAUUGCUGGCAGUGUGGAAUUGUAUAAGUUAUGAGAAAACGAUCGUGAAAUGCUUCUAAUUUCAUUGACUAUGAUUAAUUUGGGAAAAAAGCUUUACAAUGAUUCCGUGUCUGUGUUUGUGUUUGAAAGGAAUGCUUUUGUAUUAGUAAGCCAUUCAGUGAUUCCAGGAGCAGAAUCACAGUAAGCUCCCCAGACGCAAUUAUUCUAAGCCUUUAAAAAUUUGUAGACUAGUUUUUCAAUUUCUUUUAGAUUUUCUCUUCUCACAGUUUGAGCAUCAUAUGCAUACUGUACUGUUGCAGCGUUGCUCAUGCCACUGGAAUUAGUUACUUCAAAUCAAUUACUAGGCCGAAUAACUAAAUGAACUAGAGCUUGUGCCUUUCUUGUGGAGCCUUACAUGUGAGAACCGAACCAAACCAAACCGAAUUUUAGAACCGAACCGAACCGAAAUAUUUCGGUUGGGUUCGGUUGGGUUCUAAAAUUCGGUUCAAUUUGGUUUGAGUUUUUUAGAACUGAUCGGUUUCGGUUCGGUUCGGUUCGGGCUCCGAACCGAACCGAACUGGAAAAUGCCCACCCCUACAAUUCACUAUAAAUCAAUUCAAAGGUAAAAAAUGCAUUAUAUUAAAACAAGUUAUUUAUGAUAACUUACAGAUGACUUUCCGGUUGCGAGACAAGAUACCAAUCUUCCCAGUGCAAUGAUUUUCCUUCGUUUUCUUUUUGACGAAAGUCAAAUGUUUGGUUUGGUUUGCAAGUGCAAAAUGGCUCCUGUACCACACCUUUUUUUUGUGCCAGCAACGUGGGUUGAAUUAAACCUACAGGCUUUUUGGUCCUUCGAGUCGAUGGUUGUUGGAUUCCUGGAAAUUUCCUCCCAAAACCCAACUCUUUUCCUACCAUUGGAGGGGAUGGCAGUUCAACCAUUAUUCCUCUGAUUAUUUGCGGCCAAUUUUUUUAGGGGUCCAGCUUCGUUGCUCCUUUUUGUCUUUUCUGAGUUAUAAAAUAAAAAAGAGAAGUGAUGUACUGUUGUGAAAAUUUUAAUAUACUCGCAAGCGCACGAAUCUAGAGAUAGAAUAGUGGUAACGAGGUCGAUCCCACAGGGAUUGUUAUAAAUUAAAAAGUCUAAUUUAAAUAUAAAAUUAAUAUUAAUUCUAACCUAGUUGAGCAAAUUGAGUUUUUAAGAAAAUUAAACCAAUUAAACUAAGGAAGCAAUUAAAAUAAAGGAGAAUUCAAUAAGAUAAGAAUUACCAAGGUUUCAGAAUCCACCACUAUUCAACUAGUAAUUAUCUAAUUAUUAAUUAACCCCCAAUUUUAGAGUGACAACUCGAAAUCAAUCUAUGUCAUCUCAUGGAUAUAACAAUUAAGCCCAAGUAAUUAAAUCUAAUGUAGGUUCUUUUUCUGCUUAAUAAUAUGACAUCUAAGAAUCUCAUGUAAAUAAAUUGAAUAACAAAGAGUCAAAAUUUCCUAAGCACUCAAUGUAAACAAUUUAAUGAAAGACAUAAAAUCAAAGAUAAUCAUGUAUAAACUUUAUAGAUCCAAGCAUAGAAUUAAUCGAAUAUUAAUCCUAACAAUCAAUAAUGCAUGACAGAAUUGAUGAAAAGAUUUUAUUAACAUCCGAUUAAUCAUGUGAAAUAAAAACCAUAAUCAUUAAAGAACAUAUAUGGGAAUUAAAUAAAUAAAAAGAUAAUUAUUUCAUUGAAUAUGGUUUCAUCUUUAAUCUCAGUAUAAGAAAAUUAGUUAGACAUACUUGAAUUGGGAGCAACAAAAUAAAUAAAAUCAGCCAUGAAGCCGAACUGCUGCACUCGUCCUUGUCUCCCCUCUUCUGCCUUGCGUCUGCACUCCCCCCUUGUUUCCGUCCAGCAGCUCCCUUUUAUAUUGCUUGGCCACGGAAUCCUAUUGUGAUUCUAAUAACUAAACCAACUCUUACAAGCUAAAGCUCUAAGCCUGCCACGUAAUUGAAAACAAUAAAAGCCAAAAGCUAUUGAUUUCCUUCCUUUAUUCUACUUUGACUUUCCACUCAAAGCCUUAAUUAAAAGCUUUGUUUUUAUGUGCUGCCCACUUUAGCUUUAACUUUCUUCUUUGUUUGCACGAGCAUGGAGAAUUCAUUUUAUUGGAUUCGGCUUCUUCCACAUGCACGUAUGUCUAAUUGCUUCCAAAUCAAUUAAUCUUUAAUGCUCAUAAAUUGAACUCCUUUAUACUCUUUUUAUCCAUAAUCUCCAAUUAAUUCCCUAUUCAAUAAAACAAUUCAAUUAAUUAAAAAUAACAAAUAAAUAUAACUAGCAAUUAUUUAAUUAAGGGUAAAAUAUGUAUAUAUUAUAUGCUCAUCAUGUACAUUCUAAAUUUUUUAUUUUAAAAAAUUAUCUUAAAUAACGUGACAUUUAUUAAUUAGUUGGUGAAAUAAUAUAAUUAAUUUACUUAAAUUUUAUAAAGAAUUAUCAACCACUCAAUUAAUGACACAUCAUUUAAGAUAAUUUUUUGAGAUAGAAAAUUUGAAAUAUAUAGCAUUACUGAAUUAAAAAUAUUUAUUUUAUUAUAAAAUAAAAAAAUAAUGAGACAGUCCUAAAUUUUGACUCAUUAAUCCUACUUAUUUUAAUUUUUUAAACUUAAAUAAAUGGGUGGGGUAAUUUUUUUAAUAAUUAAUUCACAUACCAAUCAUCAAAGUUUUUGAAAAAAAAUUACACUUACACCUACCUAAAUGUCAAAUAUAUCUUUGAUAAAACUAUUUUUUUUACUAAAUUAAUUAAUUAAAAUAAAAUAUAAAAAAAAAUUGAUUAACUUAUUUACAUGUCCACUAGUUUCAAGCCCAUAUAUCUAGUAAUUAACAAUUGAAUCCUAUCCCAGACUCAAAGGUCAAACAUGAGAUAUGAAAAAUUCCUAUAUAAGUGUGAAGCAUAAAACAGUUUUGCCUCUAACUCCUUAUUAAGAAACUUCUAAACUUGUUCAGCAAGCCCCUAAAUGUAAGAAUAAAAAAAGAGUCAUUUAUUUCCCUCAGUUUUUGAUACCUUCUCACUAAACAAUUUAAAAACUCAUUAUCAUUAGUAAAUUAAUAUAUUUUUAUUAUAUAUUGAACUUAUUGCCUGUAUAAUGAAUAAGUCUUAUGAAAAAAAUUAACCACAAAUUAAUAACAAGAGAUUAAAUUCAUAUUAACAUUCAUCAUAUGAUUUGCAAUUAAUACAUGGUUUUACUAUAUUAAAUUAACUAAUUAAUAAAAAGAGUAUUAAUUUGCAUAAAUUAAGAAUAGGUCAUUUUAUUGGUGAAAAUAACUAAAUGUAAAAAAAAUUAAAAUAUUAUGGACUUAUGUGCCAAAAUUUUAAACUUUUUCACUGUGUUAAUUUUGUAGCAAAUAGUAGGGACUAUAUUGCUAAUAACUUGAUAGAAACAUUUAACCAUUAAACUACUUUUGGGUUAGCUGUUUAACAGUGGAUUCAGAAAAGAGAAAAAAUGAGGUGUAAAACCACAGCAAUAACAUAGCUCGACCCUUUUUUUUUUUUAAUUGUCAGAAACAUUAGAGAAAGUUUGGAUAAGAUAAUCUUUUAUAAAUUAAAAUAUAAGAUUUCGUUAUAAAAUAUGUUUAAUCUUAAAAUUUUAAUAUUCCAUGGAGCAUCGAGCAAAGUGUAAUUUGAAUAAACGGGGUUUAAGGUAUCAAGAUUUUUUUUGUAGAAAAGAGACUAUAACUAUGUAUGAAAUAAAAGUUGAUAUUGAUGGGAUUAUCUUUUAUUUAAAGCAUAUUUAUUUAUUUGUAAUAAAUACAUUUUCUAAUUAAUAAAAUAUUUGAGAUAUUUUUCAUAUAUUUUAAUUACAUAAGUAUUUGGAAUAAACUCUGUUUAAUCAUAUUCUAUGUAUUUAUGUGAUCAUCAUAUGGAUUCAUAGAAGACAUAUUAUAAAUUAUUUUGUGAUUAAAUAAAUUAAGUUCACUAUUGAUAAAUAGAGUUAAGUGCUCUAUUUAUGUUUUGAAUAAUUUGUCUUGAACAUAUAUAAAUUUACUGAUGUAAUUUGAUUACAUUGAUCUAAAUUGCAUAUGAAAUUUAAUUACCUUUGAAGUGAUUGAAAAACUUAUUAAAAUCUCAUAUGCAUUAAUUUUAUUGAAAUAUCAAGUUUGAUUUAAUUAUAAUUUUAUAUUUGUGAUUGUUAUUUCAUUUGAGUUAUCAAUGGGUUCAACAUACAUUUGUAGUCCAGAUUACCCGAUAUUUUAGUGGGAGCGAUUAUCAAUAGUGAGAUGAUAUAUUAACAAUAUAUAAUUUGUACAACACAUUUCUUAAUGGAUUUUCGGUACUUAAUUAUAGAAUUUUCUGGCCGCAGUGUGUUAACAUAUUUAGUAUGUUGAAAAUGAUGAUUAGAAAAAAGUCAGUAAGUGUCAAGAAACGAAAUGUAAUUAAAUUGAUUAAAUAGUUGAAAUAUCAAUUUAAUUAAUGAUGUGCUAAAAAUAGUUGUUUAAUACAGAAAUCAAUACGGCAUGUGUCGAAUUAUUAUUCGAAAAUACUAUCCUAGAUAACAUGUAAUUAUAGAGGUCAGUUCUAAUCUUUUAGUGAACUAGAUUUAUAAUUAAAUCAUCAAACUAGAUUAAUUGUAAGAUUAACUAUUGUAGACACUGUUGUAUAUACCUAAAUGAUUCCGGAGCUAGCUCACUUAAUUAAUUGCACCACUAUGGGACUGAUAAGUAAUAUAACUAGAUAUUUGUGUCAAAAAAUCAAAAUAUAUUAUGUAGUAAGAGGCUUCAUUUAAUAUGCCCGUGUAUAAACCUAUAAGGGUCUUUUGUUAUUUUACAAGAUGGGCCUUAUAACAAGAACAAGUGAUGCGACUUUAUCUUAUCUUUUAAUUUACAUUGAAUAUUUUUUAUUUAAUAAAAUUUAUAAAAAUAAAUAAAAAACAAAGAGGUUUUGGUUUCCACCAAAACGUAAUAAAAAUGCUUGUUUUUCUAGAAAAGAACAAAUGAGCCACAAUAUAUAAAUAGAGAAAAUUUUUUUUCUAAUUUUGAGGAAAAACAUUUUUGAUUGCUAGUUGUUCUUGAUAGUGAUAAAGAUGCUCAUACGUUAAGUGUAGAUCAAACUUGAAUCUUAACCUAAAAGAUCGUUGGUCACGGAUCUUAAUCUAACAAGAUUAAUAGUGAUGGAUCAUGACUUAAAAGUAAAAAUUAUUACUAUGAAAAAGCAAAGUUACUAUUUCUAAAUUAUAGUAAGCUUAUAUGUUAUAUGAGAGUCUCAGUCUAAAUAUUUUCACUAUAAACUAUUUUUAAUCAACAAAUAUUAUAUGGUUAAAUAUAAUUUUUAAAUAAUAAUUUUGAUAAAAUUAACAAAAUAUUAUAUAUUUUUUAUAUUACAAGGGUCAAAUCAAAUUAAUUUAUUUUUUAAAGUAUAAUACUAAGUGUUUACCAAGUACGAGCUACAAAUACCUAAUCUCAAUAUCAAAGUGAUCUUAAUUGGAAGUAAAGUACGGAUUGCUACGGGCGUUUACUAUUUUUGAAAGAUUAACUCGUUAUCUAAUUGUUGACAUGACACGUGUCUCAUGACUAAAUUUUUUUAACCUUUAUUCACUUUGUCAAUAAGCGUUUUCUCUUUUGGCUUUGAAUGUGUCAUUUGAAUUUAAAGAUUACUCAACUAUUUCAAAAUAGUCAUAUGGUGCAUUCCAUCCGAAUGGACUGAAAUCGAAAUGGGUUAGAAUAAGAAUCAGAAAUAAAUUAUUUACUUGAGUUGUAGGAAUCAGAAUUGGAAUAAGAUUUAUUUCCAUUAAUGUGUUUACUUUAUUUUAAAAUCAGAAUGAAUUAUCAUAAUUUACUAAAAUACCCUUUGUUAAUUAUUGUCAAUUAGUGGCAGUAACAACAACAACAACAAUAAUAAUGACAUUAACAAAUAAUAAUAAUAUUAUUAUUUAUUAAAAUAUUAUAAUAAAAUUUAUAAUAAUUAUUAUUUAUUAAAAUAUUUUUAUAGUUAUAAUUUAUUAUUCAUCAUCAUUAUUAUUAAUUUUAUUAAUUUUUAUUUUUAUUAUUAUUUAAAUAAAGGAUAAUAUGAGUUUUCGAAUGGAAUUCUAAUUCCCAAGCCUUCCCUUGGGAAUCAAAACUCUGAUAAUAAUUCUCAAAUUUGUGGGUCCAACACUAUCCGAAAUUUUGUAAAUACACGCAUCAUUACUUCCCAUUUUAGAAUCUCCAUUCUCAUUGCUAGUAAGUAAAUAUACCAUUAUAGUAUUGUCCUUUCAAACACUUCAAGAACAUUAUUAUUUUUUUUUAUCAGCGCAUUUUCACAACUUGUGUGAAACAUUUUGCUCCAUAUGUUCCUUUCAAGUUUCCAAGUAAUUAAAAAAGCAUCAAGUAAUUUUCAUUUUUUUCAAGAUUUAAAUGCAUCUAUUUCUCGAAUACAAAUUAACCAAGAAGCUUCAUAUAUUUAUAUUGCAACGGUGCAAAUAUGGCUAGAAAUUUUUUUUUCUAUUAGUGUUUAAUAAAUUCAAGAAUUACUAGAAGAAGCAGACUACUGAGACAGCUCAGUAUGGGUGGACAAAGAUAUUAGAUUAUAGAGAGAAAAGAAAAAAAAAAAGUGCACUAAAUUCCAUUAGAUCGUAAAAGGAAACAUAGGUGCAUAGGUGAUUCCAACCAACCGAGUAGUAUUUUGCAGUCCACACAGUUAAAGUGCAAUUCGGUUUCUGUUUCUGAUUGGAGGUUUUCCUUUUCAUCUUUAAAAGAAAAGAAAAAAAAGAAAUAUGCAUGCAUUUGAUGGUAUCAAAAGCGGCGCCGAAAGGUGACAUUACUUUCAAUAAUAUCCUAAUGAAAAGGGCGGGGAAAUGAAACGGACAUUUCCCCUCCCCUCUUAAUCAUAUGUUCUCAACUGAAUUGGGAGAUCGAAGACAAAAGUAAGAGAAUUAAGAGUUUUUAAUAAAUACUGAGUUAUUAGUGAUGGAGAAAUUAAGAUUUGCAUGUAUUAAAGUUUAGAUAGUGAGGUAAAAUAUUUUAUAUAAAAUUUUAUAUUUUUUGUUUUUAUUUGUGAUUGUAUGUUAAAAUUCUUAUAACUUAAAUUUUUUUAAUCUCUUGUCUGAUAUUUAUGUCUAAUUUUUUUAUUUUUUUAAAUAUUUUUAAUUGUAUAUUUACUUCACUCAUUAAUUUUUUUUACAUUCAAAGGAUCAUAAUUUUUUCUUAUUAUGAUUAUGCACUGAGUAAAUAAUUUAACUGUUAAUUAAUAGUUAAUAAUCUAAAAAUUAAAAAUUAAAUUUUACCUACAUACUACUAACAAAAAAAGUAUAUGAGAAUAAAUUUUUAAGAAUUCAAUAAAAUUCAGGUGAGAAUCCUGUUCCAUAUUUGUAAGGGCAAUUUUUGUAAAACUAAGGCGUGCAUGUAACUAUUUAAAAAAAUUAUGUAAUUUAAGUGAAAUGACACAUCAAAUACAGCUGACAAAAUAUUUUCUUUUUACUGACAUAAAACGCGUCUCAUAAUAACAUUGCCAGAGUGAGUCAGAACACUGAGCAUGGCACUCCAUUUCAUGAGUUAUAGCUUUCAAGAAAUUGGAUUUAUUUUUUGUGAGGACAAAAGUAUAGUGCAGACAUAUUUGGUUCCCUUCUAAAAUUAUUAUUUUUUGUAUUAAAAUAUAUUUUUGGAACUCAAAUCUCAACUACGCACUUAAAAUAAUAAAUAAUAAAAAAUUUAUUAUAACUUUAAUCGUGUGGUUAUAAAAUAAUAUUUAUCUUAAAGUAAUUUUAACAUAAUUAAUUUUUUUAAUAUUAAUAAAAAAUUAGGACACACGACAUUUAAAUUUUUCAUGGGAUAAGAUUUGAUUUUUGAUUUUUCUUUUUUUAAAUACCAAAACAAACGUUUUUUUUACUAGUUAAAAAUCUAGAACUAAGAUAUAUGGAUGUUAAUUCUUAACGUCAAUUUACGAAUGUUUUCGGUGAUUCAGGUAUUGCAAUUUUUUUUCCUUUAUUCAAAACUCAAAACAAAGACUUCACCAAAUUUAAAUAUUAAAAAAAAAUCAAUAGAUCAGUUUUUUUUUUUUUUUAACUUUUAUCAUCUUUGAAAAUGUUGAUUCUCUCAUUUCAUAUUCUCAAAUUAUUCUUCCUAUAUGAUUAAAUAAAAAAAGAGAGGUCACUCAACUUUUGACCGGGUGGUGGAUCGAUAUGAGAACAACAGCAGUUCGAGCCUUUCAUAAAUUUAAUGUAAAGUUGUAGUUUUAAUUAAUUAUCUGGACAAGUACUUUAUAAAAUUUAAUCAAUUUAUUUAAUUGUAUGAUGUAACUAUUUGAUAAAAUAUCAAUUCUCAAAAAAAAAAAAGGGAAGUCAAAGAAAAUCAAAACAAAUUUAAUAUAAUUGUGAUAAUUGUUAAGAAAAAGAAAAUGAAAAAAAGAAAAAGAAAAAGGGAAAUUAGUUAAGAAAAUUAAAUUAAGGAGAGAUCCGAACCAGUACAGACACAAUGACUGAUUAUAUACAAAAAAAAAUUGAGAUUAAGAGAGAUCCGAAUCAGAACUGAGACAAUGACUGAUUAUAUAGCGUAAAAUAACAGUGACUAGGAAUUAACAACAACUUUUAAUCACACAAAAAAAAAAGGAAAAAAGAAAAAGACAAUGGUAACAGCAGUAGCGAAUGCGUCAGUCGCUUCAGCUGGCACUGGUCUGAGAAUAACAUAAAAUUGCUCAAAUAACUAACACAGCUAGUAAACUACUAGAAUAGAAUAAACAACUCAGAAACUUAUCUCCCGUGGGAGAUUAGACGAUGAAUAUUCAUUGCCACUCUUUUGGUUACACUUUGUCACUAGAUGUGAAAAAGCUUAAUUACGAAGGCAAAAUAACCUCGAGACUCGGCGCCACAGCCGUGAGGAAGGGUUCCCUUGCACCGGAUUUGAUCCGCCGGGUUGACUUGGCCCAUUAGCGCUAGCAGGAGCCGCUUGAAUAUUGUUUUGCUGAUUUUGUGAUUGGUAGUACUCUGGGGGGUAUGUAUACUUUUUCUCCAUCCACUCUGACUUUAGUAGACAGACCACACCUGCAAGAGGAACCUCAUCAUAUCUUUUCUCUUCUCCCAUAUGUUUUUGGGAUUUUGCCGUGGCUUUUUCCAGCAGUUCUUCAUCAGACUGGUUUGGCUCAUAAACAACUGCAUCAGGACUUGUUAUCCUGGGCUCUUCACUGGACUGGCUAGUGUGGGUCCGUUUGCGCUUGCGCUUGCGCUUUGAUUCUGAUUGUUGUGGCCGGCUUAAUCGGGUUACUCUGCUUACGCCAACAAAUAAAUGUUUCAAAAGACUUAUAAUUAAUUAUUAUUAAUGAUUACAUAUUAUUGAAUUUAAAUAGAAAGAAAAAAAAAGUACAAAGAAUAUCCACCAAUAUUUUAGAUAUUUUAUAUAAUAGAAAAUAUAAAAAGAUGAGGAAUGAUAUAUAUUAAUAAAGUUAUUAUUUAUUAAAUGAGUUAAAUACAAUCAAAUUAAUUAUGAGAAGAUGAAAAGACAAAUAUAAAAAAAAAAUCUCUAUGUAUUAGAUGAUAGAGAAUAUACAAAGAAGCAAAAUGGUGAUGCCAAAUCACCUCCUCAAGUCCUAACUUUAUAUAUAUAUAUAUAGAUAGAUUAGGAAAUAGAACCGCACGUCGUGCGGCUUUAAAAAAAAUUAGUAUUAUUUUUUUAUUACUUUGUAAUUGAUGAAAUUGAUAAAAAAAUAUGAAUUAUUUUUUUUAAAGAUGAUGCAGUCUUAUAAAACUAAUGUUAUUUAUGAAAGUUAAUUAUUUUUUGUUAACAUUAAAAAUAUAUAUUAAUGUGUAUAGUUAAGUGUAUACAAUUUUUUCAUCAAUAAAAAUUAUGUUCACACUAAUCAACUCUCCAUUUUUCUUGGUAUUAACAGACUCUCACAUCUUACAAAUCCUAACCUUUAUCAUCCAACUAUCUUUAUCAUUGUUUAACUCAUAAAGAAAAUAGUACUCCAUGAAACAUACAAUACUAAAAAUUUAAAUAAGUCAAAAAAUAAAAACACAAGAAUAUUUCUAAAGAGGAUGUUGGUUAAAUAAUAAAAAAACUCAAACAUAAUAAAUCUUAAAUGGUUAACAUUAUAGAACUUGAAGAAGCCAAAAGAUACUAAAUAAAAGGUUGCAUAAUUAAAUAUGGGAUUAUGACAUUAAAAUUGGGUCAUAGGGUAUUGGUGAGGGAAGAUGAAGGAACAUUCAUUCCUAUAUUAAUUAGUUGAUGUAUUUUAAACCACUAAAGUUUCGUUGUUGGCUUAAUAAAAUAAAUGAAUGUUUCAAAACUUAUAAUUAAUUUCUUAUUAAUGGUUAUAUAUUGUUGAAUUUAAAUAGAAAUAGGAAGAGACAUGUAAUCUUUUGUAAUCUAUUAAUUAUUUUAUAUUUUAAUAUUUUGUAAUGUAAUUAUUUUUUAAUCACAACCAAUAUAUUAGAUAAUAGAGAAUAAAAAAAGAUAAGAAAUAAUGAUGCCACAAAUCUUAAAUAUUUAAUGUUUAUGGAGUUUGAAAAAAAUCAAAAAGCACUAACCAAAAGAUUGAAUAAUUAAAUAUGAGAUUAUGACAUUAAAAUUAGGCUCUAAUGGCAUUGUUGAGGGAAGAUAAAGGAACCUUCCUUCUUAUAUUAAUUAAUUGAUGUAUUUUAAGCCACUAAAAUUUAAUUGUUGGCAUAAUAAAAUAAAUGAAUGUUUCAAGACUUAUAAUUAAUUAUUAUUAAUGGUUACAUAUUAUUGAAUUUAAAUAGAAAGAGAAAAAAACAUGUAAUCAUUUAUAAUCUAAUAAUUAUUUUCUAUUUUAAUAUUUUGUAAUGUAAUUAUUUUUUAAUUUCAAUCAGUUUAUUAAAUAAUAGACAAUAUGAAAUGAUGAGAAAUGGUGAUGCCAUAUCACCUCUUGUAGUCCCAACUUUAUAUAGAUGUAUAGAUAGAUAGAUAGAUAGAUUAAUUCAUGUAUUUUAUGCCACUAAAGUUUAAUUGCUAGCAUAAUAAAAUAAAUAAAUGUUUUAAAAGACUUAUAAUUAAUUAUUAUUAAUGAUUACAUAUUGUUGAAUUUAAAUAGAAAGAGAAAAAAAGUACAAAGAAUAUCCACCAAUAUUUUAGAUAUUUUAUAUAAUAGAAAAUAUAAAAAGAUGAGGAAUGAUAUAUAUUAAUAAAGUUACUAUUUAUUAAAUGAGUUAAAUACAAUCAAAUUAAUUAUGAGAAGAUGAAAAGGUAAAUCUAAAAAAAAAAUCUCUAUUUAUUAGAUAAUAGAGAAUAUACAAAGAAACAAAAUAGUGAUACCACAUCACCUCCUCAAGUCCUAACUUUUUAUAUAGAUAUGAAAAAUAUCUCUUCCGCGGAGGGGGAGGAUUCAUUGGAUUUGAUACGGGCUGACUUGGCCCAUUAGCAUUAGCAUUUGCUGCAUUGUAGGGUUCUAACUUUUUUGAUAGAUGUGAAAAAACUCUCUUCCGCAGUGGGCCGGUAUCCGGGCUGACUUGGCCCAUUAGCAUUGGCUGCAGCCGUUUGCUGAUUGGGAGCCUUGGUGGGUUCCAUCUUUUCGAAUAGAGGUGAAUAAACUUUCUUCGGCCUAGGGGGAGGGCUCCCCGGAUUUGAUCUGGGCUGACUUGGCCCAUUAUAUUAGCUGCAGUAUAGGGCUCACCGGAUUUGCUCAUGGAGUAUUGGGAUUAUAAAUGUGCCUCAACUUGGCCUUCCACUUAUUACGACGCCCAAUGCAAUGCAAACUUUAUUGAUAACUGAUUAGGAGAUGAUCUUCAUUACCCCGUUUUCGAACUUUAUAUCAAACAAGGAACCAUCCUUAAGGACGUCAACCUUCUGGAGCUCGUAACGAAGCGGGAACUAUAAACGAACAAAGUUCUGAAUUAAAAUUGUUUAUUGAUCAAGAGUUGUAGACAUUCUGAGGUUUCGCUCCUUUAAUACAUGGAAUGCAAAAUUACCAAAAGGGGCAAAACUAAACAUAAAAUAAAGUUCUCAUGUCUGAAAUAAUUGAAAAAAAAAAUGCGUGCAAUUAGAGAUAAUUUCCUAUCGAUCCGGAGGGCAAUAAGCUUUGAAAAGAAGUUAGCUCCGUCUUUCCAUAUGCUUCAAUAUUGUAUGUUAUAUGCACAAAAUGGAUACCUGUAGCUCAAAUAACAAUCUGGGAAGAUAAAGGUCAUGUUCUACGUCAACCCGAUUCCAGCAUCUUUGAUCUCUAUCGCAGAACAAACGAAGCUGCAGUCACUAUUCUUUAUACCACAUAUUAUUCUUAUACGCUUCAAUUCCUGCAGGGGAAGUGUUGAGACUGAUUUGGUGUAUAAGUACUAAACCAAUCGCCCUAAGACCUAAUCCUAGUUAAAGACUAAUUAAUGAACUUAAGAAUGAAAGUUUAAUCACACUUAAGGGAAAAUAAGGAUUAAGCCUUGUUGUCUGGAGAAACUAAGCAAAAUCCCCUUCAUGUUUUAAAAUAUAUGUAAACCACUCAUGUUAGUUAAAACGGUGUCAACUUUAUUUAUUAUUUUAUUAUCUUAUCCCUAGUCUUGAUGUUUAUCAUAAAAUUUGAAUGUUUUGAGAAUAUGAAUCAAGUAAAAUAACUUAUAUACCCUUAACGAAUAAAUUAAUUUAAUAACGAAUUGUAAGUUAUGGAGAAAUAUCAACUGAUUUGUAAAUGUAAGUUCUUUUUAUUUUUUUAUUUUUUAUAAUCAUUUAUAGUAUUAAAAUAUGAACUUUCCUAUUAAAAACUUAUUUGUGCCUGUUAUGUUUUUGAUAUAUCGGUUUUUGGGUAUUAAAAAUUUGAGCUUUUUAUUUGUUCUUUCUUUCUUUUUUUAAUUAUAAUAUCUGUGAAAGGUUGCUAAAUGAGGUCUGAUUUUGUUGGUAUAAUGAUUUGCAACAAAGAAAAUUAAAUUUAAAACUUCUCUUUAAAUUUAUUUUCUUUGAGGUAUUCUUGAAAUAAUGAUAGUAUUGUCUAUUAUUAUUGAGCUCAGAUGCCUAACGUCGAUGUUUUUGAUAAUUUUGAUGGGAAGAAAUUUGAUUUAGGGGCAUGAUAUGUUGAUUGUUUGAGUUAGGUUGCUAAUAUUUCUCCAUAAUUUUCAAUUCAUUGUUAGAUUAAUUUAAUUAUUAAGGGAAUAUAACAUCAAGACUAAAGUUAAAAUAGUAAAAUAGUACAUAAAGUUAAUAUCAUAUAACCACAGACCUAUUUUAAAAUAUGAGGAGAUUUCACUUAGUUUCCCCAAACAUAAUCUUCAUUUUUCUCACUUGUACAUGUCAACUAGACUUCAUAUUUUGUAUAAUAACUUUUGAUGAUACUUCGUUGAAGUUACUUGUAAGUAACUUUUGCUCAGUAGUGAAGUACUCUUGAUUUUCUAAUCUGCAGAUUGAUUACGCUCCUCUUUAUUUUUGAUGACGCACAAUAUUAACUAAUGAUACAAGAACCUCAUCUUCAAGUCUUUAAAGUAAAGCUUGGAGCUCCAAUAGAUUAAUCAUAAAUUCUUUUAAAACAAUUCUUAAUUUUUAUAGUACCCAUUUAUUAUAUAAAUUAAUAAUUAUCUAAUUUGAAAUUAAAUACCUAUGAUAUAAUUAUGUGAUUUUUGUAAAAGAUGUGCUCAGUUCGCUUAAAUCCCCAGUGAACCUUUUACGCCCAAACACGACAAUUUAUGUGAAUUAAGAAUUAUUCUGAGCUAGCAAGCAACUCAAGUUAUGUAUGAUACAAUAAUCAUGGCUACCACUACUCUUAAAUUGACAUUUCUAUCACUAUUACCACCACAAGUCUGCCUCCCUGUUGAAACAGAACUUGUUAUUUAUCAACUUCAACAGUUUAAAAUAAGCAGAAGAAGGUAGAAGCAGAAGAACCAGCAGGGAAAAAAGGAGAUGAAUAUACCUGUGCCUCAAGUUGGGCCAGAUAUUCAUUACCCACCUUUUUCAAUAGAGGGGAAACAAACCUCUCGGCUCAGGGCCUCCGUCCAGAGGGAGGGUUCCCUUGUGCUGGAUUGGAGCCGGGCUGACUUGGCCCAUUAGCAUUAGCUUUAUAGCUGCAGUCGUUUGGCUAUUGUUUUGCUGAUUUGGUGAGUGCGACUCUUGGUAGGGUUCCAGGUUUUUCAAAAGAUAUGAAAAAUAUCUCUUCCGCCGAGGGGGAGGAUUCAUUGGAUUUGAUCCUGGCUGACUUGGCCCAUUAGCAUUAGCAUUUGCUGCAUUGUAGGGUUCUAUCUUUUUUGAUAGAUGUGAAAAAACUCUCUUCCGCAGUGGGCCGGUAUCGGGGCUGACUUGGCCCAUUAGCAUUGGCAGCAGCCGUUUGCUGAUUUUGUGAUUGGGAGCCUUGGUGGGUUCCAUCUUUUCAAAUAGAGGUGAGUAAACUUUCUUCCGCCUAGGGGGAGGGCUCACCGGAUUUGAUCUGGGCUGACUUGGCCCAUUAUAUUAGCUGCAGUAUAGGGUUUCAUCUUUUUCCAAUAGAUAUGAAAAAACUCUCUUCCGCCAAGACGGGUUCACUAGAUCUGAUUCGGGCUGACUUGACCCAUUAGCAUUAACUGCAGUGUAGGGUUCCAUCUUUUCGAAUAAAUGUGAAAAAACUCGCUUCGCCGACAGGGUUCACUGGGUUGGAUCCGGGCUGAGUUGGCCCGUCAUCAUGAGCAUUAGCAGCAGCCGUUUGCUAAUUUUGUGAUUGGGACUCUUGGUAGGGUUCCAUCCUCUGUGAAUUUUUUUCAAGGGGCCAAGCUGUACGAUGUUUAGACAUGGGCGUACAAGUUUCAGAAACUUUUUCUUCAGUUUCAUCAAAUGGUAGUGCAGGAACAAGAUUGUAAUGUAUGUGUUAACUAGACUUCAUGUUUUGUACCAUGUACAUGGCUAAUAAAUUAAACAAGGCCCUUUCAUCAAGCUUAUAAAGGGAGUAAGCCGAAACUAAUACUUUGAUGGUGCGUCGUUGCAGUUGCUUGUUUGAAUGCAACUUUUGCUUGCAAGUCAUUUAUUCUUGAUUUUCUGAUCUGCAGAUUGAUUCUUCUUUUUGAUGAAACAUAAUGUUAACUAAUUAUAGAAGAAUUUCAUCUUAUUGAAAUUGUUAGACUUGACAUUAGAGACAUAAGUAACGCGUCCAAACUAUCCGCGAUGUGAUCACCAUUGCCAUGAGUAAUAUUCACAUAUUAUUUAACCUGCAUCUUCUAUUUAGUAAUGCACGCAUUUGACAUUGCACGCUAACAAAAUUUAACUCAGUACCUUGUUCUAGUGUCGAAUAAGUCGUAUUAUAUUUGACAAACCAAAUAAGCAACGACUGUAAAUAAAGUUUAUACAAAUUUGAGAAGAAGAAUGGAAAAUCACAUUUAACCAUCUUGACUCAUGUCUGCAAUACCAAAGUCACUACUGAUAAUAAGAAAGAACUGAAAAGAGAGUUUGCACAAAGGUUAGUAGAAGCAGGAGAACAGCAGCCAGAAAGGAGAUGAUUGCCCAUGGAUUGUUGAAAUAAUUGUGCCUCAACUUGGCCAUCCACUUAUUACGACGCCUACUGCAAUGCAAAACCACUUUGUUGACAACCUCCUGGUAAUAGAACCGCUCACCGAGUACAACACCCUCACAAAGCUUGUUCAGUAAGGUUACAAUCACUUCAUCAUCUCCUAACAAAUUAUUAAUUAUUCCACAACGACGGAGAAGCUCAGCAUCCUUUGAAGUUUUGAUAAGGCAGUUCAGGAAUUUGACAUAAUCUAUUACAUGCUUCAGAUUUAUGUCUUGGGAACACUGCUCAUAUGCAAUGAGAUUCCGAAAAAUAGUUUCUGUAGCAUCACUAAUUUCCAAGGAUGGCAUCUUCAUUACCCCAUUUUCGAACUUAAUAUCGAACAAGGAAUCAUCAUCCUUAUCAACCUCAACCUUCCGGAAUUCGAUUCCAGCCUCUUGAAUCUCUGUGGCAGAACAAAUGAAGUUGCAGUGACUAUUAUUGGUGCCAUUAUGAAGCUCAUAUGCUACUACUCCUGCAGGUGAAGGAAGCCAGUUACCGUGGAUCAAAUGGACUAGAUGUUUGAUUUCAUUUAUGCGAUAAUUAUUAACUCGGUAAACAUCAUCUCUUCGACAUCCUUUUCCUGGUAAUAUCCCGUUGAAAAAACGCAGAAUUGUGACAAGAAAGCUUUUGUCACUAGCACUGUUAGGCAACUCAGUCAUGCUAAACAACUUCCAAAUAACAAAAAAUGGAAGUUGAUUCUCAAGUAAAAUCAUAUCUUGAGCUAUGGAAGGUAACAUCCAACUCAGUUCAAAAAUAGGGUCAUUACCUUGUCCCAAAGCAGGGUCAUUAUGUCUUCUCCCCUCCAUUUCCAACCUAAACUUGCGAAAAACCUCAACAAUGAAAAAACCAUCAAGAAUCAUCAUUUUCACAAACUCAUCUUGGUUUAAACUUAUGGACCCUCCAUAACAAUUUUUAGCUGUCUCUUCCAGUUCCCUCAUGACUGCGAAAUAGCAUGACAAAGGUAUAUCCAAUCUUCGCUCUAGAAGCCUUUGAAGAUAGCUCAUUUUGUACUUUUCAAAGUCCAAUAAUUGAUCUUUACCGUGAUGGUAAGGACCAAUUGAUAGCAAUCUUGGUGCAUAAGCCUUUUCAUUUACAUUACG